rnacentral:rRNA from 1 species
CACGUGGGCAACCUGCCCUAGGGAGCGGGACAACCCGAGGAAACUCGGGCUAAUACCGCAUAAUUCGCAGUGCCUUAAGGCUCUGCGGGAAAUGGUAGCUUCGGCCUCCGCCCUAGGAUGGGCCCGCGGCGCAUUAGCUAGUUGGUGUGGGUAACGGCCCACCAAGGCGACGAUGCGUAGCUGGUCUGAGAGGACGAUCAGCCACACUGGGACUGAGACACGGCCCAGACUCCUACGGGAGGCAGCAGUGGGGAAUCUUGCGCAAUGGGCGGAAGCCUGACGCAGCAACGCCGCGUGUGG